AACGCAAUUGCAAUGUAAAUAAAACUUUUAACAUUAUAGUUACCUUCACGUCCUGUCAGCUAUCACUGCUGUCAACUGAGACGCAAGUAGACUGUUGAUGCAAUCGACGUAAAAUGUCAGUGGACAGCAAGGCUAAGGUAAGUGGCUAAUUCUAUAAUCUAUCAGCAGUGGCCCUUAUAGAUCGGAGGAGCACA